CACAGUGUUGUAUCCCUUAUUGAAGUCACUUGUUCAAUAUACUUCAAAAUCGGUGUAGAUGAAGGGGAGGAGUCGGGUUAAAGGUGAAGGGGAGGAGUCGGGUUAAAGGUGAAGGGGAGGAGUCGGGUUAAAGGUGAAGGGGAGGAGUCGGGUUAACGGUGAAGGGGAGGAGACCGGGUUAACGGUGAAGGGGAGGAGACCGGGUUAACGGUGAAGGGGAGGAGACCGGGUUAAAGAUGAAGGGGAGGAGACCGGGUUAAAGAUGAAGGGGAGGAGACCGGGUUAACGGUGAAGGGGAGGAGACCGGGUUAAAAAUGAAGGGGAGGAGACCGGGUUAAAGAUGAAGGGGAGGAGACCGGGUUAAAGAUGAAGGGGAGGAGACCGGGUUAAAGAUGAAGGGGAGGAGACCGGGUUAAAGAUGAAGGGGAGGAGACCGGGUUAAAGAUGAAGGGGAGGAGACCGGGUUAAAGAUGAAGGGGAGGAGACCGGGUUAAAGAUGAAGGGGAGGAGACCGGGUUAAAGAUGAAGGGGAGGAGACCGGGUUAAAGAUGAAGGGGAGGAGACCGGGUUAAAGAUGAAGGGGAGGAGACCGGGUUAAAGAUGAAGGGGAGGAGACCGGGUUAAAGAUGAAGGGGAGGAGACCGGGUUAAAGAUGAAGGGGAGGAGACCGGGUUAAAGAUGAAGGGGAGGAGACCGGGUUAAAGAUGAAGGGGAGGAGACCGGGUUAAAGAUGAAGGGGAGGAGACCGGGUUAAAGAUGAAGGGGAGGAGACCGGGUUAAAGAUGAAGGGGAGGAGACCGGGUUAAAGAUGAAGGGGAGGAGACCGGGUUAAAGAUGAAGGGGAGGAGACCGGGUUAAAGAUGAAGGGGAGGAGACCGGGUUAAAGAUGAAGGGGAGGAGACCGGGUUAAAGAUGAAGGGGAGGAGACCGGGUUAAAGAUGAAGGGGAGGAGACCGGGUUAAAGAUGAAGGGGAGGAGACCGGGUUAAAGAUGAAGGGGAGGAGACCGGGUUAAAGAUGAAGGGGAGGAGACCGGGUUAAAGAUGAAGGGGAGGAGACCGGGUUAAAGAUGAAGGGGAGGAGACCGGGUUAAAGAUGAAGGGGAGGAGACCGGGUUAAAGAUGAAGGGGAGGAGACCGGGUUAAAGAUGAAGGGGAGGAGACCAGGUUAAAGAUGAAGGGGAGGAGACCAGGUUAAAGAUGAAUGCCGUUACAAUGUUAGCAAGGUGUUCUUAAUGUUUGGUAUAGUCAGUGUAUAUAGGGAUCCUAUAAUUCAGUUCCUACAUUUAAAAAAAUAUUAAAAAUGUCUCAUCACUAUUUGGCCAAAUUGCAAAAAUCAGAAGUAUGGGGUAUAGUUUUACAAUUUCUCUUCAUAACAUUUGAUUUAAAUCUAACCCUAACCUUUCCCACACCACUAACCACGCCUGACCUUAAAUGAAGGCCAAAAAAUAUAUUUAUUUUCAUAAAUUUUUACAAUCUAGACAUUUUUUGACUUUGUAGCUUGACCAUAUAGUGGGAAACCACUUCCUUGACCAUGACGGCAGGACACCAAAAUG